rnacentral:misc_RNA from 1 species
ACCGACCGUUUGCACACCCCUAGUAAACACUAAUGCAUAUUAGACAAUAGUUAACUCUCAUAAAAUUCAGUUUAAUAAACAAGAAAGAAUUAUCAACUAACUAGCAUUUAUUUUAUAUUUCUUAUUAAAAAAAAUUCAAAAGAAGGAAAAUUUAAUUAUUUUUUAAGAAAAUAUUUUUUAUUAAAAUAUUUUUUUAUUAUUUAAUUACAAUGAUAAAUUA